rnacentral:lncRNA from 1 species
CACGUAAAUUGUCCCAGUCAAUGGACGAAUUUAACGUGUCAAACAAUGGCCACAGCCACACUGUUUUGAAUUUCAUUCUAUUUAUAUUGUAAAGUUUAAUAUUUGUAUCGUCGCAAAAUCUUUGGUCACCUUCUUUGGUUACCUUCUGUGAGAAACUUAUAUAUUUUAUAGAUCCUGAUUGAAAGUAAUAAGAAACCGACCGGGGACUAUGAGGACUGACCAAAAGUCCUAUCAAGGCAAGCAAACCUUUCCACCUCUCUUUAAAGAAGCGCAUAACUCUAUGGAUUGUUGUAAUGAGGGUGAAUGGACGUAUCGAUUGCU